UGACAGGGGCUGCAUGUACCGGUGGUC
rnacentral:piRNA from 1 species